rnacentral:rRNA from 1 species
AAGCUCGUAGUUGAACCUUGGACCUGGCUGAUCUGUCCUCCUAAUCGAGCGUACGGAUUCGGUCGGGUCUUUCCUUCUGGGGAACCCUAUGUCCUUCAUUGGGUGUAGUGGGGAACCAGGACUUUUACCUUGAAAAAAUUAGAGUGUUCAAAGCAGGCCUUUGCUCGAAUACAUUAGCAUGGAAUAAUAGAAUAGGACAUCGGUUCUAUUUUGUUGGUUUCUAGGACCGCUGUAAUGAUUAAUAGGGAUAGUCGGGGGCGUCCGUAUUCAAUUGUCAGAGGUGAAAUUCUUGGAUUUAUUGAAGACGAACUACUGCGAAAGCAUUCGCCAAGGAUGUUUUCAUUAAUCAGUGAACGAAAGUUAGGGGAUCGAAGACGAUCAGAUACCGUCGUAGUCUUAACCAUAAACUAUGCCGACUAGGGAUCGGACGGUGGUUUUUUUAUGCCCCGUUCGGCA